rnacentral:rRNA from 1 species
AACGUAGGACACGAGCGUUAUCCGGAGUUACUGGGCGUAAAGGGUGCGUAGGUGGGUUGGUAAGUCAGUGGUGAAAUCUCCAGGCUUAACUUGGAAACUGCCAUUGAUACUAUCAAUCUUGAAUACCGUGGAGGUCAGCGGAAUAUGUCAUGUAGCGGUGAAAUGCUUAGAUAUGACAUAGAACACCAAUUGCGAAGGCAGCUGGCUACACGAAUAUUGACACUGAUGCACGAAAGCGUGGGGAGCAAACAGG